AGCUUAGUGGCGAACGGGUGAGUAACGCGUGAGUAACCUGCCCUAGAGUGGGGGACAACAGUUGGAAACGACUGCUAAUACCGCAUAAGCCCACGGUACCGCAUGGUACUGAGGGAAAAGGAUUUAUUCGCUUUAGGAUGGACUCGCGUCCAAUUAGCUAGUUGGUGAGGUAACGGCCCACCAAGGCGACGAUUGGUAGCCGGACUGAGAGGUUGAACGGCCACAUUGGGACUGAGACACGGCCCAGACUCCUACGGGAGGCAGCAGUGGGGGAUAUUGCACAAUGGGGGAAACCCUGAUGCAGCGACGCCGCGUGGAGGAAGAAGGUUUUCGGAUUGUAAACUCCUGUCGUUAGGGACGAUAAUGACGGUACCUAACAAGAAAGCACCGGCUAACUACGUGCCAGCAGCCGCGGUAAAACGUAGGGUGCAAGCGUUGUCCGGAAUUACUGGGUGUAAAGGGAGCGCAGGCGGGAAGACAAGUUGGAAGUGAAAACCAUGGGCUCAACCCAUGAAUUGCUUUCAAAACUGUUUUUCUUGAGUAGUGCAGAGGUAGAUGGAAUUCCCGGUGUAGCGGUGGAAUGCGUAGAUAUCGGGAGGAACACCAGUGGCGAAGGCGGUCUACUGGGCACCAACUGA
rnacentral:rRNA from 1 species